rnacentral:rRNA from 1 species
CCCUUAGAUGUUCUGGGCCGCACCCGCGCUACACUGAUGCAUUCAACAAGCCUAGCCUUGACCGAGAGGUCCGGGUAAUCUUUGAAACUGCAUCGUGAUGGGGCUAGAUUAUUGCAAUUAUUAAUCUUCAACGAGGAAUGCCUAGUAAGCGUGAUUCAUCAAAUCGCGUUGAUUACGUCCCUGCCCUUUGUACACACCGCCCGUCGCUCCUACCGAUUGAAUGUGUUGGUGAGGAGCUCGGAUUGGCAGCAGUUGGUGGUUCGCCACCGGCUAUUGCUGAGAAGUCCUCCAAACCGCCCCAUUUAGAGGAAGGAGAAGUCGUAACA